CCUUACCUAUAUCAAUGCAUCUUUGUUUAGCUGUGUGCUGUCGGGAGUGCCAGUACUUCCAAUGCCUUAACUGAUCUUCUCUGCUUUUGUCUUCUGCAAAAACCACCAUGAUCACACUCUAUGAAAGAAAAUGCAUUAUCACAUAAAGACACUAAACGAUCUUCUUCAGACCUGGGACUAUUAAGCUCUGAUCAGCUUUCCCAGAGAAGAGAACUAAGAACAGAACUUACUCGGACUUUGCUGAUGGGCCGGUGGAUCCCCUCACUGCUGUUCACCUCUUUCAGAGUGACAGGAUAAAACUGGCCUUUGUUCAGACUCCAUUCUACUACCAUCACAUAAAGAAACUGAAGGAAAGAAAAAGCACCAACACCAGGAAUUAAGGAAACAUGAAACACAGUACAGAGUUCAAAAUUAAAUGCACUAAAGCAAAUGUCCUCUAGCAAAGCUAAUACCACCAAAGCCACCUCUGAUUUUCCAGUAUCAAAUUAACAAAAAAGUCAUAAAAGCUGAAAGUUAAAAAUCAAAUUAAAAGACAACUAUUACCCAGAAACACUGUCAAAAACAUAGUCCUCUGAAUUCAUGCCAGGCAUCCGGAGACUGAGAUCCGAAGGGAAGAAAACCUGAAAUAUCAACGUAAUAAGCCACAACUAUUUAACUGGUUAUCAGGCUUACUAAAGACCAAUAUGUGGUACAGCACAGAAGUAUGUGGCUUACAGCAACCCACUACUCAUUCAAUAUUUGUUUUAAUAAGAAUUUUAACUCUACAAAAAAAUUCUGAAAGAAAAAUAUCCGUUUUUAUAUGCCACUCGAUUAGAUGAGGACAACAUGCAGGCACUCCCCCAGAGUGCUGUCUUACUCCCCUUUUCCCAACUUCCCCACACAUCUCAAUUCUGUUCAAACUCUAGAAUCUGCAACCGAAAUCCUGCAAUUACAGGGAUCAUCACACCAAGUGAAGGUACAGUAUCAGGUCUGCACCACCGAUGAUGGACUGGUGCAUUCUUUCAGAAAAGGCUAUUCUAUUCCUAACUCCAUAAGCCAGAGGGAUGUUCCUUUCCCCCAUGAGACAUUAAAUAUAGCUUCUUCACUCCCUAACUUUUUCAUCACCACAAAACCCCCAAAGCAUUUAGAGUUAAUCUGUAAAUUUUACACAACGCAUUUAUCAUCAAGACCUACUGCCUCCCUGACUAUACUACCAACCAAGAGAGACCAAACAAAUACAUAAGAAGUCAUUUUAUAUUGAGACCAAUUACAGGGAUCUUGUUUUGGUCUAGGACAAAAGCUGAAAACAGACUUAUGUGGAGAUAUCUGUUGUUGAUGGAAGAUUAUGUAUGGGGUUCUCUUUUUCCAACAAAUCACUUAGCUGAAAUCAUAAUUGUUAACUCAAAUGCUGGUAAGAUUAGCCAUGUGCCCUUGAUAAUAAUUUCUGGUUUUGUAGGUUUAGUUUACAAAUUAUACCCAUGGGCCUUUUCUCGUUUUAAAAAAAAAAAAAAAGGAAAGAAAAAAAUCUUUUGUUCCUAAUCCAUUCAUUUCAGGCUGAGUUUCAAGCUUACAUAACAAGGAAGAGGUGGAACCCAAUACUUAUACAAACACACAAAAGUCUUAGGAAGAUGCUUGCAUUUCCUGUACCUCCUGAACGCCUUCCUUGAAGGUCUCUGAGAAGGUAGAGUCUGGAGUUCGCCUUUGAGCAUUUGGGGGUUGAGCACCAGAGCUGAACUGGUCAGCAUUAAGAUUCCGGUCGAAAACCACCACCCGCUCAGUGGGCUCAGGAUGAUACACUGCUGGAGAGAUUCCCACAGCAAAACCAUGGGGCUGGGUUUCUGUCUUGAUGGAGUGAGUAGGCAUUGUUGCUAUGGAGACAGUGACUGUAGUAUCAGGAGCUGUUAGAUGGCCUCUCUUAUCAAUGCCCAGUUGGUUGCCAUGGGGAAGGACAAUGUUAAAUGGCACAUUUUUCAGUACUUGCACUCUGUUUUCUCCAGCAGAAAUGAGGGACUGCUCAGUCACAUUCGGUAUGCUGUUUCUUUAAGAAAAGAAAAGAAAACUGUGUUUUCAAACUCAAUGAAACUCACUACUUCCCCACACAUACAGUUCUUUAACAAUUUUUAUUUUCCUAAUGGCAAUGGGCCAUUGGGUCCUGUGCAACAGUAAUAAUAAUUAUUAUUAAUAAUAAUAAUAAUAAUACACUUGGAAGAAACCAAAUAAAUAGAAAAUGGCAAUGACAACCCAUUACGAGAACAAGAAAAAGAAAGACUUUGUGGUCAUAAAAUCCAAAAGUGUCAGGCAAAAUUUCAUUGAAGUAUAGAGAACUCAGAGCUCUCCUCUACUACACUUUAUUUUCAAUAAUCCUAAUACAAUGGUCAUAUUUCACUAGAAGCCUGAAGCUACAAAUGUAACUGGCUGGAGCUUCAAGCUUCCACUUUGGUUCAAAUUCUGUGACACUUAUUUUAUCUCUUCGUAAGUACACAUAUUCAUCUAUAAAAUGGGGGUAAUAAACAUAUCUAUCCUCACAAGGUGGUGAUGAGGAUGAAAUGAGAUGAUACACUGAAAUAUGUAUAAUAAUGCCUGGCACACAAGAGUUCAGGAAGUAUGAACUAUUAUCACUUGGCCACCACUUUUCCUAGUACCUAUGCCUAUUGGGCUUUCUCUACCACUAAAGAAAAAAAAAUACCAAUGUUUACACUGUACAGGUAGAUAUAUUUGCAUACAAUUACUUUUGGUUUAAAUAUCCUGGACAACAGAAGAUGAUUUCUAGUCCACAAUAAAAUUAAUGAAUUUUCAAAGCCCCCUCAAACAAUAUAGGCUGAUACCUUUAAGGAAGAAAGCAACUUGGCAGUUUUGUACAUUUUGAUCAAUGAAAUGUUCAAACCUGAGAAUUUAUGAAAGAAAGAAAGGAAAAAGCUUUCUAGAAAGUUGUUUGUUGAGGCUCUGUAGUAGAAAAAAAUCACAGCCUUAAUGUUAGGAUAACUAAGUUUUGCUUCAAACUAUAGCAAAAUAAACUAAUUGUUAAUUUAAAAGUUGGAGAAGAGGGAAGAGUAGAUCAAACAGGAGGAAUUACGUUAGUAACUGUUGAAGCUAAUAAUGAUACACAUAGGCUUAUAUUUCUUUACUUCUGUUGUUUGAAAAUGCCCAUAAUAAAAAGUAACAUAAUAAAAGCCAUAAGCCCUUCUCUAAAGGGUAAUUAUGAAGAUUAAAACAGCAACAUGGAAAACACUUAUGGAAGGGAUUAAGUAGAAGAACACCAACUAACAAAUGUUAUCUGUGAAUACAACCACAACCACAUAAAAUGUGCACCAAUACCCAAAUAGUAAAUAAAUAAAUUGUUCAGAUAGUGGGAUUAUGAGUGAUCACUCUUUCUUUAAAAAUAUUUUACUCCUGGGGUGCCUAGAAAGCUUAGUGAGUGACCCGUUUGACUCUUGAUUUCAUCUCAGGUCAUGAUAUCAGGGUCGGGAGAUCGAGCCCCAUGCCGGGCUCUGAGCUAGGCAUGGAGUCUGCUGAAGAUUCUCUCUCUCAAGCAGCCCCGGUGGCCCAGCGGUUUAACGUUGCCUUUAGCCCAGACCCUGAUCCUGGAAACCCAGGAUCGAGUCCCGUGUUGGGCUCCCUGCAUGGAGCCUGCUUCUCCCUCUGCCUUUGU